rnacentral:lncRNA from 1 species
UGUGCACUGAAUACUAAAAUGGGAGGAGCUGUUGACUUCUCUGAGGAUAGAAAGUCCUUACAGAGAGAUGCUGAUAAACUGGAUGAGUAGGCAAUCACCAACCAGAUGAAGUUUAAAAAGAGCAAGUGCCGGAUUCUGCACCUGGGAUGGAGCAAUCCUGGAUAUAUAUACUGAGUGGGGGACGAGAGCCUGGAGCAGCCCCACGGAAAGGGAUAUGGGGGUUCUGGCUGACAGCAAGUUAGUUACGUAGUCAGAGGAGUGCCCCAACAGCCAAAAGAAAUCAGAUGUGCCAUGCAGAUGGAUCAACAAAAUGUGUGGUGGACUCAGCAAGAGGGUGCCAGGCUACUAUUGGGAUAUCAAAGUAAUUAUCUCCUCCAAGGAAGAGGAAGUAUCCAUUACUGGUCAAUCUAUUCCAAAGUUCCUUUGGUAUCAGUCAGCGUUUAUGGAGAAAUAAUUAGUUUAUCGUAGUAAACUGAAGGGAUGAAUAUGCCACUGUAAAACUAGAAAUGAAGUUAUGAAGACAGAAAACACACCACCUACAUACUAGAAUUCAGCUGCAUCCUCACGUAUCUAUGUCUCUGGUGCCCCCCGCCCCAGCACAACAUCCAACCACAAGAGACGCAAGCUGACUGCAAUGUGUCCUCAUUCAUCUGGAAAUCCGACCAGCACGCUCUCUGCUGUGGGAACGGCAGAGCUGAUUCCCACCACGUCUCCCAAGCCGGUCGGUUCUCCUUUUGUGAGCUGCAGAACUCCGUAAACGAUACGCCUGUUAAACUUGUUAGCGCCGCGCACAGCGGGCGGAGCGGAGGACAGCGCGGCCGCCCUCACCACAGAUCGCC